AUACGGAGGAUGCGAGCGUUAUCCGGAUUUGUUGGGUUUAAAGGGUGCGUAGGCUGUGCGUUAAGUCAGGGGUGAAAUGCCGUCGCUCAACGACGGAGCUGCCCUUGAUACUGGCGUGCUGGAGUACGGAUGCCGUUGGAGGAAUGAGUGGUGUAGCGGUGAAAUGCUUAGAUAUCACUCAGAACACCGAUUGCGAAGGCAUCUGACGAAUCCGUCACUGACGCUGAGGCACGAAAGCGUGGGGAUAGAACAGGAUUAGAUACCCUGGUAUUCCACGCCGUAAACGAUGAUGACUAACCGUCGGCGAUAGACAGCCGGUGGCCAAGCGAAAGCGAUAAGUCAUCCACCUGGGGAGUACGUCGGCAACGAUGAAACUCAAAUGAAUUGGCGGGG
rnacentral:rRNA from 1 species